GUCUGCCUGAGACUAGGGAGGAAUUUAUGAGCGUGGAACAGCUAAACAUGGAACAUAAUGAGCAGAGAGGCGCAGAUAAGGCAGGUGAAUGCUUCUUGUUGCACGUGCUGCCUUUCAUCUUAACAUCUAUCACAAAUUUCUUCUCCAGUCGCCCUGACAACGACAAGGCUAAUGAGUACCAAAAGGCUGCUGCUCUCAUAUGAGGCUAUGACAGUCCCCUCAGCUACCUGGAGUGAUUGCUGGCAUCCUGAUUAGUGCCUGAUGACCAGAUUGUUCUGCAUCUGGAGACGGGAUGAGUGUUCUUCUGUAGGCGCUCUCCUUAACAAAUGUAAU
ensembl:lncRNA